rnacentral:rRNA from 2 species
GCACUUGAUCCAGAGAACUUUCCAGAGAUGGAUUGGUGCCUUCGGGAACUCUGAGACAGGUGCUGCAUGGCUGUCGUCAGCUCGUGUUGUGAAAUGUUGGGUUAAGUCCCGCAACGAGCGCAACCCUUAUCCUUUGUUGCCAGCGGUUAGGCCGGGAACUCAAAGGAGACUGCCAGUGAUAAACUGGAGGAAGGUGGGGAUGACGUCAAGUCAUCAUGGCCCUUACGAGUAGGGCUACACACGUGCUACAAUGGCGCAUACAAAGAGAAGCGACCUCGCGAGAGCAAGCGGACCUCAUAAAGUGCGUCGUAGUCCGGAUUGGAGUCUGCAACUCGACUCCAUGAAGUCGGAAUCGCUAGUAAUCGUAGAUCAGAAUGCUACGGUGAAUACGUUCCCGGGUCUUGUACACACCG